GACGUAGGGCGCGAGCGUUGUCCGGAUUUAUUGGGCGUAAAGAGCUCGUAGGCGGCUUGUUGCGUCGGCUGUGAAAACCCAUGGCUCAACCGUGGGCUUGCAGCCGAUACGGGCAGGCUAGAGUUCGGUAGGGGAGACUGGAAUUCCUGGUGUAGCGGUGAAAUGCGCAGAUAUCAGGAGGAAUACCCGUGGCGAAGGCGGCCCCCUGGGCCGAACCUGACGCUGAGGCGCGAAGGCUAGGGGAGCGAACGGG
rnacentral:rRNA from 1 species